GAUGAACGCUAGCGGCAGGCCUAACACAUGCAAGUCGAGGGGCAUCGCGGUGCAGCAAUGCACUGGCGGCGACCGGCGUACGGGUGCGUAACGCGUAUGCAACCUGCCCCGCACCGGGGGAUAGCCCGCCGAAAGGCGGAUUAAUACCCCAUGGUCCCGGGGGCCCGCAUGGGCAUCCGGGUAAAGCCUUGGCGGUGCGGGAUGGGCAUGCGUGCCAUUAGCUGGCUGGUGGGGUAACGGCCCACCAGGGCAACGAUGGCUAGGGGGUCUGAGAGGAUGGUCCCCCACACUGGUACUGAGACACGGACCAGACUCCUACGGGAGGCAGCAGUGAGGAAUAUUGGUCAAUGGGCGGAAGCCUGAACCAGCCAUGCCGCGUGCGGGAUGAAGGCCCUACGGGUUGUAAAGCUCUUUUGUCCGGAAAGAAAAGCGCCGGGUUAAUACCCUGGUUCCUGACGGUACCGGAAGAAUAAGCACCGGCUAACUUCGUGCCAGCAGCCGCGGUAAU
rnacentral:rRNA from 1 species